rnacentral:rRNA from 1 species
AUUGAACGCUGGCGGCAGGCCUAACACAUCCAAGUCGAACGAGUGGCGGACGGGUGAGUAAUGUCUGGGAAACUGCCUGAUGGAGGGGGAUAACUACUGGAAACGGUAGCUAAUACCGCAUACCAUCGGAUGUGCCCAUAUGGGAUUAGCUAGUAGGUGGGGUAAAGGCUCACCUAGGCGACGAUCCCUAGCUGGUCUGAGAGGAUGACCAGACACACUGGAACUGAGACACGGCCCAGACUCCAACGGGAGGCAGCAGUGGGGAAUAUUGCACAAUGAGCGCUAGCCUGAUGCAGCCAUGCCGCAUGUAUGAAGAAGGCCUUCGGGUAGUAAAGUACUUUAAGCGGGGAGGCGUUACCCGCAGAAUAAGCACCGGCUGACUCCGUGCCAGCAGCCGCGGUAAUAA